rnacentral:misc_RNA from 1 species
CAACCCUCAGGCCCCCCCGGGGGCCCGGUGUUGGGGGCCGGCCCCGGCCGCCCCCGAAAUGCAGUGGCGACCUCGCCGCAGCCUCCCCUGCGUAGUAAGCAAACACCUCGCACCGGAGCGCGGAGACGGUCACGCCGUAAAACGCCCCAACCUCCAAG